GUCUAUAGAACAGACAUGGAUAAGUGAAAAGAUCUACAAAAUCUGUGGAUGGCACCUGCAAUGCUUGGAAUUCCUCACCUGUGAUAUAUGGGCAGGUGGGGAGCCAUAGGUGCGAGGAA
rnacentral:ncRNA from 1 species